rnacentral:rRNA from 1 species
CCCUUAGAUGUUCUGGGCCGCACGCGUGCUACACUGAGUGGAUCAGCGGGUCAGGUUGCGCGAAAGCGUUUCCUAAUCUUUAAAUCCGCUCGUGAUGGGGAUUGACGGUUGCAAUUUUCUGUCAUGAACGAGGAAUACCUUGUAAGCGCGGGUCAUCAUCCCGCGCUGAAUACGUCCCUGCUCUUUGUACACACCGCCCGUCGCUCCUACCGAUCGAGUGGUCCGGUGAGGCUUUGGGAUCUGAGCGGAAAGAGCGUUUCGCUGUUUCUGCUCGGAAAACUCAGUCGAACCUUAUCAUUUAGAGGAAGGAGAAGUCGUAACA